rnacentral:rRNA from 1 species
UAGGGGGCAAGCGUUGUCCGGAUUUAUUGGGCGUAAAGAGCGUGUAGGCGGCUUUGCAAGUCCGUUGUGAAAACUCGAGGCUCAACCUCGAGACGCCGGUGGAAACUGCAAAGCUAGAGUCCGGAAGAGGAGAGUGGAAUUCCUGGUGUAGAGGUGAAAUUCGUAGAUAUUCGCAAGAACACCAGUGGCGAAGGCGGCUCACUGGCCCGAUACUGACGCUGAGGCACGAAAGCGUGGGGAGCAAACAGG